rnacentral:rRNA from 1 species
CUACGGGUGGCAGCAGUGAGGAAUAUUGCACAAUGGGGGGAACCCUGAUGCAGCAACGCCGCGUGGAGGAUGACGCAUUUCGGUGUGUAAACUCCUUUUAUAUGUCAAGAAAAUGACGGUAGCAUAUGAAUAAGCACCGGCUAACUCCGUGCCAGCAGCCGCGGUAAUACGGAGGGUGCAAGCGUUACUCGGAAUCACUGGGCGUAAAGGACGCGUAGGCGGGUUGGAAAGUCAGGUGUGAAAUCCUACAGCUUAACUGUAGAACUGCACUUGAAACUUCUAAUCUAGAGUAUGGGAGGGGGAGAUGGAAUUAGUGGUGUAGGGGUAAAAUCCGUAGAUAUCACUAGGAAUACCUAAAGCGAAGGCGAUCUCCCGGAACAUUACUGACGCUAAGGCGUGAAAGCGUGGGGAGCAAACAGGAUUAGUUACCCUAGUAGUC